GACGAACGCUGGCGGCGUGCCUAAUACAUGCAAGUCGAGCGCAGGAAACUGACGGAACUCUUCGGAGGGAAGGCAGUGGAAUGAGCGGCGGACGGGUGAGUAACACGUAAGGAACCUGCCUCAAGGAUUGGGAUAACUCCGAGAAAUCGGAGCUAAUACCGGAUAGUUCAACGGACCGCAUGGUCCGCUGAUGAAAGGCGCUCCGGCGUCACCUUGAGAUGGCCUUGCGGUGCAUUAGCUAGUUGGUGGGGUAACGGCCCACCAAGGCGACGAUGCAUACGCGACCAGGUAGGGUGAUCGGCCACCCUGGGACUGAGACACGGCCCAGACUCCUCCGGGAGGCAGCAGGAGGGAAUCUUCCACAAUGGACGAAAGUCUGAUGGAGCAACGCCGCGUGAGUGAUGAAGGUUUUCGGAUCGUAAAACUCUGUUGUAAGGGAAGAACACGUACGAGAGGGAAUGCUCGUACCUUGACGGUACCUUACGAGAAAGCCACGGCUAACUACGUGCCAGCCGCCGCCGUAAGAC
rnacentral:rRNA from 1 species